AUUGAACGCUGGCGGCAUGCCUUACACAUGCAAGUCGAACGGCAGCACGGGUACUUGCACCUGGUGGCGAGUGGCGAACGGGUGAGUAAUAUAUCGGAACGUACCUUAUCGUGGGGGAUAACGCAGCGAAAGCUGUGCUAAUACCGCAUAAGCCCUAAGGGGGAAAGCAGGGGACCGUAAGGCCUUGCGCGAUUAGAGCGGCCGAUACCUGAUUAGCUAGUUGGUGAGGUAAAGGCUCACCAAGGCAACGAUCAGUAGCUGGUCUGAGAGGACGAUCAGCCACACUGGGACUGAGACACGGCCCAGACUCCUACGGGAGGCAGCAGUGGGGAAUUUUGGACAAUGGGGGCAACCCUGAUCCAGCAAUGCCGCGUGAGUGAAGAAGGCCUUCGGGUUGUAAAGCUCUUUUGUCAGGGAAGAAACAGCAGCUCUAAUACAGUAUGCGAAUGACGGUACCUGAAGAAUAAGCACCGGCUAACUACGUGCCAGCCGCCGCGGUAA
rnacentral:rRNA from 1 species